rnacentral:antisense_RNA from 1 species
AGUAACCAAAGAUGACAGCGGGGUUCAGUGUAGGGUUAGUAAUUACCCGCACAUCACCACCACCAGGAGCCCAGGUGUCAUAUAAACCACCAAAGGCGAUCGCCUUAGCCACCAAGAGCAGGGCACCAAUGCCGAGCACGAUUAGGUGGAAACCAAGGAUAGUGGUCAUCUUGUUCUUAUCUUUCCA